CGGGUUAGUGGCGGACGGGUGAGUAACGCGUGAGAAUCUGCCCUCAGGAGGGGGAUAACGGUUGGAAACGACCGCUAAUACCCCAUAUGCCGCGAGGUGAAAUGAAUUUCGCCUGAGGAUGAGCUCGCGUCUGAUUAGCUAGUUGGUGGGGUAAGAGCCUACCAAGGCUUCGAUCAGUAGCUGGUCUGAGAGGAUGAUCAGCCACACUGGGACUGAGACACGGCCCAGACUCCUACGGGAGGCAGCAGUGGGGAAUUUUCCGCAAUGGGCGAAAGCCUGACGGAGCAACGCCGCGUGAGGGAUGAAGGCCUCUGGGCUGUAAACCUCUUUUAUCAAGGAAGAAGAUCUGACGGUACUUGAUGAAUAAGCCACGGCUAAUUCCGUGCCAGCAGCCGCGGUAAUACGGGAGUGGCAAGCGUUAUCCGGAAUUAUUGGGCGUAAAGCGUCCGCAGGCGGUCUUACAAGUCUGUCGUUAAAGCGUGGAGCUUAACUCCAUUUCGGCGAUGGAAACUGUAAGACUAGAGUGUGGUAGGGGCAGAGGGAAUUCCCGGUGUAGCGGUGAAAUGCGUAGAUAUCGGGAAGAACACCAGUGGCGAAGGCGCUCUGCUGGGCCAUAACUGACGCUCAUGGACGAAAGCUAGGGGAGCGAAAGGGAUUAGAUACCCCUGUAGUCCUAGCCGUAAACGAUGAACACUAGGUGUCGGGGGAAUCGACCCCCUCGGUGUCGUAGCCAACGCGUUAAGUGUUCCGCCUGGGGAGUACGCACGCAAGUGUGAAACUCAAAGGAAUUGACGGGGGCCCGCACAAGCGGUGGAGUAUGUGGUUUAAUUCGAUGCAACGCGAAGAACCUUACCAGGGUUUGACAUCCUGCGAAUCCCUUGGAAACGAGGGAGUGCCUUCGGGAGCGCAGAGACAGGUGGUGCAUGGCUGUCGUCAGCUCGUGUCGUGAGAUGUUGGGUUAAGUCCCGCAACGAGCGCAACCCACGUCUUUAGUUGCCAGCAUUCAGUUGGGCACUCUAGAGAGACCGCCGGUGAUAAACCGGAGGAAGGUGUGGAUGACGUCAAGUCAUCAUGCCCCUUACAUCCUGGGCUACACACGUACUACAAUGCUACGGACAAAGGGUUGCAAGCUCGCGAGAGUUAGCUAAUCCCAUAAACCGUGGCUCAGUUCAGAUCGUAGGCUGCAACUCGCCUACGUGAAGGAGGAAUCGCUAGUAAUCGCAGGUCAGCAUACUGCGGUGAAUACGUUCCCGGGCCUUGUACACACCGCCCGUCACACCAUGGAAGUUGGCCAUGCCCGAAGUCGUUACUCCAACCCUUGUGGAGGAGGACGCCGAAGGUGGGGCUGAUGACUGGGGUGAAGUCGUAACAAGGUAGCCGUACCGGAAGGUGCGGCUGGAUCACCUCCUA
rnacentral:rRNA from 1 species